AGUGAACGCUGGCGGUAGGCCUAACACAUGCAAGUCGAACGGCAGCACAGUAAGAGCUUGCUCUUACGGGUGGCGAGUGGCGGACGGGUGAGGAAUACAUCGGAAUCUACUUUUUCGUGGGGGAUAACGUAGGGAAACUUACGCUAAUACCGCAUACGACCUACGGGUGAAAGCAGGGGAUCUUCGGACCUUGCGCGAUUGAAUGAGACGAUGCCGGAUUAGCUAGUUGGCGGGGUAAAGGCCCACCAAGGCGACGAUCCGUAGCUGGUCUGAGAGGAUGAUCAGCCACACUGGAACUGAGACACGGUCCAGACUCCUACGGGAGGCAGCAGUGGGGAAUAUUGGACAAUGGGCGCAAGCCUGAUCCAGCCAUACCGCGUGGGUGAAGAAGGCCUUCGGGUUGUAAAGCCCUUUUGUUGGGAAAGAAAGGCAGCAGGUUAAUACCCCGCUGUUCUGACGGUACCCAAAGAAUAAGCACCGGCUAACUUCGUG
rnacentral:rRNA from 1 species